rnacentral:rRNA from 1 species
AACGGCCAUACCAUGCUGAAUAUACCGGUUCUCGUUAGAUCACCGAAGUCAAGCAUCAUUGGGCGUGGUCAGUAUUGGGUGGGUGACCGCCUGGGAACACCGCGUGCCGUU